CUACGGGACUCCAGUGGGGAAUAUUGCGCAAUGGGGGAAACCCUGACGCAGCGACGCCGCGUGGAGGAUGAAGGUUUUCGGAUCGUAAACUCCUGUCAAGAGGGAAGAAACCUGCAGAAAAUAAUACGUUCUGCAAUUGACGGUACCUCUAGAGGAAGCACCGGCUAAUUCCGUGCCAGCAGCCGCGGUAAUACGGAAGGUGCAAGCGUUAAUCGGAAUCACUGGGCGUAAAGCGCUCGUAGGUGGCUUUGUAAGUCAGGUGUGAAAGCCCACGGCUCAACCGUGGAAUUGCACUUGAUACUGCAUCGCUAGAGUUCGGGAGAGGGUAGUGGAAUUCCAGGUGUAGGAGUGAAAUCCGUAGAGAUCUGGAGGAACACCGGUGGCGAAGGCGACUACCUGGACCGAUACUGACACUGAGGAGCGAAAGCGUGGGGAGCAAACAGGAUUAGAUACCCGAGUAGUC
rnacentral:rRNA from 1 species